AGGAGCCGUAUGAGGUGAAAGUCUCAAGUACGGUUCUGUAUGGGAGGGGGAGAUGGCGACAUCUCUCUCGACCCCUACUCCAU
rfam:Arthrospira platensis NIES-39 DNA, nearly complete genome.